rnacentral:lncRNA from 1 species
AUAAGAAAAAGAAAGACUUAGAAAAAUUCUAUGGUAUCUAAAUGACAAUAAAAAUCAAGAGAUAGUCUUAUUCUAAGGCUUACAAACGAUGAUAUUGAAGCCGAGACAGACAUAAAGCGAAUUCUGCUUGAAAGGUGGACCAGCUCAUUCCACCGAUUCAGACGGUGAUGACUAUCAAAGUCACUGAAUCAGUCGGUGACCUUAAGG